AGAAUGAAGGUGGAUUUGAAAUUAAUCACUAUCCUUCUAUCAGUUGUGGUACUUCAUGUAGUAUUUACUGAAGGUUGGGGAGUGAGAAUUCCCAAUCCUGUCCGUGUUGUCAGACGCGUAGUAAGAAAAACUGGGGAAGGAAUUAGGACUGCAGUCCGGAAAACUGGGGCAGGAAUCAGGACUGCAGUCCGGAAGACCGGGGAAGGUAUUAAGACUGGAAUCCGGAAGACUGGCCAAGGAAUUAAGACUGGAAUCAGAAAAACUGGGGAAGGUUUAAAAAAGGCAGGGGAAGGAUUAAAGAAAGCAGGACAAGUGACAGGAAAACAUCUUUAUAAAGGAUUGAGAGAAACUGGAAAGGCUUUUAUUACAGCCUCAAGCGUUGUCUCUGAUAUAUUGGACAGAGU